rnacentral:rRNA from 1 species
UCGCAUGCGCAUCUACCAUGCAGUCGUACAGGAUAACACGCAUUCGGUGGUGGAUUAGUGGCGAACGGGUGAGUAACACGUGGGCAAUCUGCCCUUCACUCUGGGACAAGCCCUGGAAACGGGGUCUAAUACCGGAUAACACUCUGUCCCGCAUGGGACGGGGUUAAAAGCUCCGGCGGUGAAGGAUGAGCCCGCGGCCUAUCAGCUUGUUGGUGGGGUAAUGGCCUACCAAGGCGACGACGGGUAGCCGGCCUGAGAGGGCGACCGGCCACACUGGGACUGAGACACGGCCCAGACUCCUACGGGAGGCAGCAGUGGGGAAUAUUGCACAAUGGGCGAAAGCCUGAUGCAGCGACGCCGCGUGAGGGAUGACGGCCUUCGGGUUGUAAACCUCUUUCAGCAGGGAAGAAGCGAAAGUGACGGUACCUGCAGAAGAAGCGCCGGCUAACUACGUGCCAGCAGCCGCGGUAAUACGUAGGGCGCAAGCGUUGUCCGGAAUUAUUGGGCGUAAAGAGCUCGUAGGCGGCUUGUCACGUCGGAUGUGAAAGCCCGGGGCUUAACCCCGGGUCUGCAUUCGAUACGGGCUAGCUAGAGUGUGGUAGGGGAGAUCGGAAUUCCUGGUGUAGCGGUGAAAUGCGCAGAUAUCAGGAGGAACACCGGUGGCGAAGGCGGAUCUCUGGGCCAUUACUGACGCUGAGGAGCGAAAGCGUGGGGAGCGAACAGGAUUAGAUACCCUGGUAGUCCACGCCGUAAACGUUGGGAACUAGGUGUUGGCGACAUUCCACGUCGUCGGUGCCGCAGCUAACGCAUUAAGUUCCCCGCCUGGGGAGUACGGCCGCAAGGCUAAAACUCAAAGGAAUUGACGGGGCCCGCACAAGCAGCGGAGCAUGUGGCUUAAUUCGACGCAACGCGAAGAACCUUACCAAGGCUUGACAUAUACCGGAAAGCAUCAGAGAUGGUGCCCCCCUUGUGGUCGGUAUACAGGUGGUGCAUGGCUGUCGUCAGCUCGUGUCGUGAGAUGUUGGGUUAAGUCCUGCAACGAGCGCAACCUUGUUCUGUGCUGCCAGCAUGCCCUUCGGGGUGAUGGGGACUUCACAGAGACUGCCGGGUUCAACUCGGACGAGGUGGGACGACGUCAAGUCAUCAUGCCCUUAUGGUCUUUGGGCUGCACACGUGCCUACAUUGGCAGUACAUUGAUCUGCCAAUGCCGCUAGGGCCGGACCGAAUCCUCUUAUAAAUAGC